rnacentral:rRNA from 1 species
CCUACGGGUGGCAGCAGUCGAGAAUUAUUCACAAUGGGGGAAACCCUGAUGGUGCGACGCCGCGUGGGGGAAUGAAGGUCUUCGGAUUGUAAACCCCUGUCAUGUGGGAGCAAAUUAAAAAGAUAGUACCACAAGAGGAAGAGACGGCUAACUCUGUGCCAGCAGCCGCGGUAAUACAGAGGUCUCAAGCGUUGUUCGGAAUCACUGGGCGUAAAGCGUGCUUAGGCUGUUUCGUACGUCGGGUGGGAAUGGCGCGGGCGCAGCCCGCGGACGGCACAUGAUACUGGGAGACAAUAGUAAUGGAGGGGGAACCGGAAUGCUCGGUGUAGCAGUGAAAUGCGGAGAUAUCGAGAGGAACACUCGUGGCGAAGGCGGGUGCCUGGACAUUAACUGACGCUGAGGCACGAAGGCCAGGGGAGCGAAAGGGAUUAGAUACCCCAGUAGUC